AACUGGAAAAUUAAACGUGAACAACUCUGAACGGUGGCGUAAAUUCAGGCUGCAAAUCCCAACCCAGGAUUCAUACUCAUCUGUGGUAUGUGUGGGACUGAGAGAAAGAAUCACCUGGAGAUUUGAACUUUGGUGGAAAACUAGCUGACUGCCCUGGAGUUGUGGAGUGGGCAUGGGGUGGAGGAAAGGAGACCUGUGAUUCUUGCACAGCUCAGGCGAGGGCUGCUGUCUGUACUGCCACUGCAACCUCACCACUGGAAGAGUACCAUGAAUAUGUACGACAUACAGGAGAUCGUAAGGGAAGAAAGCAAAGGCAAGCUGUGGAAUAAAAGUACAAGUCACCAUAUGGUUUGAUACCUACUGCUCUAAAAUGAUAUUGCUACUUAUUUGCAUUUGAGGAGGAAAAAUCUUCAUUGUUAUGGGGUAAUCCAGGUUUAGAGCCCUAUGACCUGGCCAUCAGAAGUACUGUCAGGCAACCAUUUCCCCUGACUUCUGUUGUGCUGAACUGUACUGAAAAUCCAGUCUAGGUGCACUUUUCAUGUGCACCUAUCCAGAAGCAGUGGAUAUCAUGGAUUACCUGGGUCUUGUCUUCUUGAGACUCAGUUUCCCUGCUUGUAAAUGUGGUAUUAAAGUAUUUAUCCUAUUUUUAGGCUUAAUUAAUAAUUUGGGGAUAUUUAGAUUUUCUUAGAUGAAAGAGCCACAAUACAGUUACGUUAUGCCAGGUCAGCAACUCCAGACAUAAACUGACAUGAUCCCACUAAUUUCAGAUAGAACUACGCUGACACCCAGCUGAAGUUGCUACCCAAAGUACCUGGAGAUCUGUUCAAACGAAAGAUUGUUUAAUAUCCUCUUAGGAAGAAGGUCAAUCUGCUGAAACAGGAUUUCUGAUUAUUAUCCUCUGACAUUCACUCUUCCUUAAAGCUACAAGGAAGCCAUGGCCCUGGGAUACCAAAAACUCUAUUAAUAUAUAGCAAACUAUGGACCUUUUCCUGAAUAACUCUUCAUUGUCUAGGGUUAAUAAUGUUUUAUACAUGUUUUAAUGUUUCCAUAUCUGCCUCGGGGCAGAAGUUUGGAACAGAAGAACGAAGAGGAACAGUUCUUCUGGGAGAUCCUGAGGGGAAGGAGGAGGGAAACUCUGAGAGGGAAUAUGGCUCUUUGUAGAGGGUGGGUGACUGGCAUCUGCUAGGGAGUCAAGUCUGGGAUGGAGGAGGAGGAAAGGAGAGGAAAAAAAGAGGUAGGAAGGUUUCCUGUUAACUCAAUCUGUUUAAGACAGGCAUGGAAAUUUUGAAUGACAGGAGAAAAGAGAGGGGGUCCUAAUGUUUCCAACCCCUCCAAGGGACACGGGGAUGCCCUGGAAUAGAAAUUGAGAACCAGUUACAAAGGCAAAACUUGGAUUCAAAUUUAAGUGCUUUCUUCAAUGUUUGGAUUUUAGAAAUGCUUUCAUGAAUGGGCAGAGGGAUAGAUUGGGUGAUAGAGGUUGAAGUGCUGGCAGUGACCUGUCCUUGGACAUCAGCAGCCUUGUCAUGGAAGAAAUUGUGAAGUUUCUUUUGUAGGAAGGCUGGGGGAAUAGAAUGGAGAAGAACAAAGUAGGGCAGCUGGAAGCAGAUUGUGCUACUAAUUGGUGAUUAUUCUGUGUUAUAUGAAAUGUUGUCAUACAUUUUGAGGUCUAGUAAGGUAAAGGGAAUUUUAGCAGGGCACACUGUGGUACAAAUAUGAGGGGAAAAACAGAUGGGAAGAUUUGAGAACAAGAUGAAGCUUUUUAGGAUUGUGAGGAUCAGAAAAAGAUAAAAACAGCAGUCAACCUUGGGGUAGCUAUACCCAUCAAAUUGCAAGGCAAAGACCACCCAGAUAUAUUCUUGUGGUGUGGAACUGGAGCAUCAUCUGAGAUGUCAGAGGCUUAGUGGCAAUGAACUGUUAUGAAAAUCAUCCUAUGGAUAGAAAAUAUUAAAAAAAAAGACAAAAAAGAAUCGGCUCUCCUGCAAAGAGAGGGUUUCUCCCAGGCAGAAACCAAGGCCAGUGCUUGCAUAGGGGAAUGCCGUGCAAAAUCAAUGUAAUGUGCAGAAAUAAAAACUGUACGCAAGCAUGGCGAGGCAUUACAGCACACUGACAGCUGCACUGUAGGAAAGUACAAUGCAUUUCAGACUUGAAAAGUUGAAAUAAUAACAGACUUUUCCUAAAGCAGGGGCCAUAAAUGGCACCUACUAAAUUUCUUUCGCGUUUCACAAGCAAAUGCAAGCUGGGUGAAGAGCUGCAUCCUUUGCGUUAUUUUCUCUCCCCGUUAGCAGUCGCUGCUGGUGGAGCACACCCGAGGUGCACAGAUCCUCUCCCCAUCAGGCAGGAGAGCUGCUGUCCCUCAAAGCCACGUGCCCAGCCCAGCCGGGAGUCCGGUGCUCAGCAGCACGCUCGUGUCGCUUUGGCAGGGAUGGAGCAAGCUGCUCUCCUUCCACCUCCACCCCCGCCUCCAUCCUCUCCACGCACAGGAAUACCCUAAUCAGGGAAGUAUGCACGGGCUGUUUAGCAAGGGGUCAAAUCCAUUUGGAUGAAAUUCCAGGGCUGCAGGGAUAACAAUGGCAGGAAGAGAGGUCCUUGAGCUGGCCCAUGCUGCCCGCAUCUAGCAGCACGUUGUUGACAGAUGUGGCCUGCUGCCUGCUGCCCCUUGGAAAGUCCUGGCCGCUCCCGACACCACGGAGAACCGAAAGCUCACCGCAAGUGGAGUUAAACGGAGGAGCCCCUCCAUUAAUUAUGAAAUUAUUCUAUGACUGUACUGCUUGCCCAAACCUAAAUCUUCUUUUUAACCCGUUGGGAGUUUUAGGGGUUUCAUGGGAUGGUGUGUUAGCCAGCGGAGAA